rnacentral:rRNA from 1 species
CAUGGCUCAGAUUGAACGCUAGCGGGAUGCCUUACACAUGCAAGUCGAACGGCAGCACGGACUUCGGUCUGGUGGCGAGUGGCGAACGGGUGAGUAAUGUAUCGGAACGUGCCUAGUAGCGGGGGAUAACUACGCGAAAGCGUAGCUAAUACCGCAUACGCCCUACGGGGGAAAGCAGGGGAUCGCAAGACCUUGCACUAUUAGAGCGGCCGAUAUCGGAUUAGCUAGUUGGUGGGGUAACGGCUCACCAAGGCGACGAUCCGUAGCUGGUUUGAGAGGACGACCAGCCACACUGGGACUGAGACACGGCCCAGACUCCUACGG